GUGUCAGCCGCCGCGGUAAUACGAAGGUGGCAAGCGUUAUUCGGAUUUACUGGGCGUACAGGGAGCGUAGGCGGUUUGGUAAGCCCUCUGUGAAAUCUCCAGGCUUAACCUGGAAAAGUCGGAGGGGACUGCUGGGCUAGAGGACGGGAGAGGAGCGCGGAAUUCCCGGUGUAGCGGUGAAAUGCGUAGAGAUCGGGAGGAAGGCCGGUGGCGAAGGCGGCGCUCUGGAACGUUUCUGACGCUGAGGCUCGAAAGCGUGGGGAGCAAACAGGAUUAGAUACCCUGGUAGUCCACGCCUUAAACUAUGAAUACUAAGUGUCGGCAGUUUACUGCCGGUGCCGCAGCUAACGCAUUAAGUAUUCCGCCUGGGAAGUACGGCCGCAAGGUUGAAACUUAAAUGAAUUGACGGGG
rnacentral:rRNA from 1 species